rnacentral:rRNA from 1 species
CCUACGGGUGGCAGCAGUUGGGAAUUUUCCGCAAUGGACGAAAGUCUGACGGAGCAACACCGCGUGCAGGAUGAAGGCCUUCGGGUUGUAAACUGCUUUUAUCUGUGACGAUUUUGACGGUAGCAGAUGAAUAAGGAUCGGCUAACUACGUGCCAGCAGCCGCGGUCAUACGUAGGAUCCAAGCGUUAUCCGGAAUUACUGGGCGUAAAGAGUUGCGUAGGUGGCAUAGUAAGCGAAGCAUGAAAUCUUGUGGCUCAACCAUGAGGCUAUGCUUUGAACUACUAAGCUUGAACAUGAGAGAGGUACCUGGAAUUCCCAGUGUAGGAGUGAAAUCCGUAGAUAUUGGGAGGAACACCGAUGGCGUAGGCAGGGUACUGGCUCAUUGUUGACACUAAGGCACGAAAGCGUGGGGAGCGAACGGGAUUAGAUACCCUUGUAGUCC